GACGAACGCUGGCGGCGUGCUUAACACAUGCAAGUCGAACGGAAAGGCCCUGCUUGCAGGGUACUCGAGUGGCGAACGGGUGAGUAACACGUGGGUGAUCUGCCCUGCACUUCGGGAUAAGCUUGGGAAACUGGGUCUAAUACCGGAUAGGAACCAUCUUUAGUGUGGUGGUUGGAAAGUUUUUUCGGUGUAGGAUGAGCUCGCGGCCUAUCAGCUUGUUGGUGGGGUAAUGGCCUACCAAGGCGGCGACGGGUAGCCGGCCUGAGGGGGUGUACGGCCACAUUGGGACUGAGAUACGGCCCAGACUCCUACGGGAGGCAGCAGUGGGGAAUAUUGCACAAUGGGCGCAAGCCUGAUGCAGCGACGCCGCGUGGGGGAUGAAGGCCUUCGGGUUGUAAACUCCUUUCGCUAGGGACGAAGCUUUUUGUGACGGUACCUAGAUAAGAAGCACCGGCUAACUACGUG
rnacentral:rRNA from 1 species